UACGGGGGGGAGCAAGCGUUGUUCGGAUUUACUGGGCGUAAAGGGCGCGUAGGCGGCCCGCUAAGUCGAACGUGAAAUCCCCGAGCUCAACUCGGGAACUGCGUCCGAUACUGGCAGGCUUGAAUCCGGGAGAGGGAUGCGGAAUUCCAGGUGUAGCGGUGAAAUGCGUAGAUAUCUGGAGGAACACCGAUGGCGAAGGCGGGUCUCUGGGCCGAUACUGACGCUGAGGAGCGAAAGCGUGGGGAGCGAACAGG
rnacentral:rRNA from 1 species